GAUGAACGCUGGCGGCGUGCCUAAUACAUGCAAGUCGAGCGAACAGAUAAGGAGCUUGCUCCUUUGAAGUUAGCGGCGGACGGGUGAGUAACACGUGGGUAACCUACCUAUAAGACUGGGAUAACUUCGGGAAACCGGAGCUAAUACCGGAUAACAUUUAGAACCGCAUGGUUCUAAAGUGAAAGAUGGUUUUGCUAUCACUUAUAGAUGGACCCGCGCCGUAUUAGCUAGUUGGUAAGGUAACGGCUUACCAAGGCGACGAUACGUAGCCGACCUGAGAGGGGGAUCGGCCACACUGGAACUGAGACACGGUCCAGACUCCUACGGGAGGCAGCAGUAGGGAAUCUUCCGCAAUGGGCGAAAGCCUGACGGAGCAACGCCGCGUGAGUGAUGAAGGGUUUCGGCUCGUAAAACUCUGUUAUUAGGGAAGAACAAAUGUGUAAGUAACUGUGCACAUCUUGACGGUACCUAAUCAGAAAGCCACGGCUAACUACGUG
rnacentral:rRNA from 1 species